AAUCAACGCUGGCGGCGUGCCUAACACAUGCAAGUCGAACGAGAAGGUGACUUCGGUCACUGGAUAGUGGCGUCCGGGUGAGUAACACGUAGGUAAUCUACCUUCGGGUGGGGAAUAACGUCUCGAAAGAGACGCUAAUACCGCAUAAUGCAGCGGCACCUAAUGGUGAUUAGUUGUUAAAGCGGGGGAUCUUCGGACCUCGCGCCUGAAGAGGAGCCUGCGGCAGAUUAGCUAGUUGGUGAGGUAAUGGCUCACCAAGGCUUCGAUCUGUAGCUGGUCUGAGAGGACGGCCAGCCACACUGGCACUGACACACGGGCCAGACUCCUACGGGAGGCAGCAGUGGGGAAUUUUGGGCAAUGGGCGAAAGCCUGACCCAGCAACGCCGCGUGAAGGAGGAAAUCCUUCGGGAUGUAAACUUCAUAAGUAAGGGAAGAAAGCUGCGGAUCGAAUAAGUCCGCAGUCCGACGGUACCUUACGUAAGCCACGGCUAACUACGUGCCAGCC
rnacentral:rRNA from 1 species